AAUACAUCCUAAUUAAAAUAUUAUAUUACAACAUUAACAUAAACAGUUAUGGAGCAUGCUUCCUAUAUAAACGUGUGUAUUAGAUUGUCAAAGUAUGACUGUAUUUAUAAGACAUUUAUUUGUGUGAUGCAAAAUAAGAAGUUUUCCCCAUGGUUUAUUGCACUACAUACGGGUUCUCGUGUGACGUAACAGUCAGCUGCACGGAGAACUGAAAGGGAAAUUAGCCAGACAGGUGGUGUCGAGAGAUUGUGGGGAAAUUGAUGAUAGUGUGCACCGUAAGGGCAUUGCCAGUCAUGGGCUAAGCCUCCGGUGGGACGCCUGACCAGGAUAUGGAAAACGAUAUGUACAGCAGAGAGAGACGGGCACUAGGGAUUGGGUGGACUUAAGCAAAAUCAGACGACAGAUGACCUUGACCUUCGUCAGGCUGAUCAGCAGAUCAACAAUACUCGUCGCAGCUAGACACACGGAACUUCCCAUAACCGCCCGUUGCAGCAUGUGUUGUCGUACUACGUCAUGUGCAACACUAUUUAUGUCAGUGCUUUAAAGUGACUGUGUGAACCCAGUGAAUUCAGGGACUUGGACCUCCAGACUGUGCUCUAAAGAUGAAGUAACGGACAUGCCUCCCACUCCGAUGUCGACGAAUGAAAUACCAGGUGUUAGCGAUAUGACGUCACCGUCCACUACAAGUUUACUGUCCACAUCUGUUGUCGUGAACGUCUCACAAACGGAACCCUCAAUAGUGUGGUCAAUAUUUAUUCUAGUGAGUGAGAACAUGGGUCCUGACCCAACUAUUCAUAAUUCCAAUGCUAUGUAUUAUUUACCUGGGAUUAUAGAGUGCGCUCUAAAAUGUCAGGAGGGCAUACACUGUGUGUCCUUCACCUUUUAUUUGGUAACGGAUGAAAUCACUGGUGGCUGCCAUCUGUAUCGAUCUGUUAUCGAGUUAGACUUAGUUUACAAAGCAGAGUCUCGAUACUUCCGGAAGGACGUUAACAUGUGAUAGUGAAUUAGUUUAUGCAUGGAAAACUCAAAAUAAUGUUAGAAAAUUACGUAGUGUGAAGCGAAGUCACUGUAAUGCAAAUAGGAUGUAAGCAUGUAAUAAUAACAUGUUGUAGUAUACAAACAUGGCCUAAAGGACAACAGAGAUAAACAUCAGAAGUAACAGUGAUUCAUUUAGUAAAAAACGUUGAUGUAAUAUUUCUAAGGACAUACUAUAGUAACAUUCAAUAGUUAAUUCAUAUAUUUAAAAAUGAUAUUCUCAGUACUUAAUAAAAAAAACAAUAAUCAACGGAUAUUGACAUUAACAAGUGACUUUGUUAGUCGAAACAUGUAGAUUGUAUACAUUGUACUUCGAAAGGGAUGUUACUAUGACAGUGGUAUUAAUAAGAUUAAAAUCAUUUCAAGAAAGCCGUUAUCAUUUUGUAGAUGCAAUAUUUCUUGAAGGACAUAAAUUAGUAUUUAGCACAUAAGGUACGGUUUAAGAACUCUCAAAACAAAAUAUUAUAACUAUAUUUUUUGAUUUCCGAAAUCAUUAUAUUUUGGAGGAUGUCAGCAACUGAUGACAAUAUAGGCCUUUCUAGGGGGUAUAACAAUGUUUCAGAUUAUAUAAUUGGGCGUAACACUUUAUAAUUAAACCUUUAGCUUAAUAUAUGGAUUUCAAAGAAUAAUUUAAAUUCAUUUGAGAUGUAAACAAAGUG